rnacentral:rRNA from 1 species
GACGAACGCUGGCGGCGUGCCUAACACAUGCAAGUUGAGCGACUAACCAGGGCUUGCCCUGGGGCAAAGCAGCGAACGGGUGAGAACACGUGGGUAACCUGCCGAGAUGACCGGGACAACCCGAGGAAACUCGGGCUAAUACCGGAUGUGUUUCACACACAUCAGUGUGUGAAGGAAAGAAAGCUUCGGCCUCCGCAUCUCGAGGGGCCCGCGGCCCAUUAGCUUGUUGGUGAGGUAACGGCUCACCAAGGCAACGAUGGGUAGCUGGUCUGAGAGGACGAUCAGCCACACUGGGACUGAGACACGGCCCAGACUCCUACGGGAGGCAGCAGUGGGGAAUCUUGCGCAAUGCGCGAAAGCGUGACGCAGCAACGCCGCGUGAGGGAAGACGGCCUUCGGGUUGUAAACCUCUUUCAGAAGGGACGAAGGGUCGGCGGCGAAUAGCGAGCCGGCUUGACGGUACCUUCAGAAGAAGCCCCGGCUAACUACGUGCCAGCCGCCGCGGUAA